rnacentral:rRNA from 1 species
UUCCGGUUGAUCCUGCCGGAGGACAUUGCUAUUGGGAUUCGAUUUAGCCAUGCUAGUCGGACGAGUUUAGACUCGUGGCGCAUAGCUCAGUAACACGUGGCCAAGCUACCCUUCAGUCGGCAAUACCCUCGGGAAACUGAGGUUAACGGCCGAUGUGGGACGCCUGCUGGAAUGCGGCGUUCUCUAAAGGCGACGCUGAAGGAUGCGGCUGCGGCCGAUUAGGUUGACGGUGGGGUAACGGCCCACCGUGCCAGUAAUCGGUACGGGUGAUGAGAGUCAGAGCCCGGAGACGGAAUCUGAGACAAGAUUCCGGGCCCUACGGGGCGCAGCAGGCGCGAAACCUUUACACUGCACGGAAGUGCGAUAGGGGAAUCCCAAGUGCGAGGGCAUAUUCGCCCUCGCUUUUGUUGACCGUAAGGUGGUCAACGAAUAAGAGCUGGGCAAGACCGGUGCCAGCCGCCGCGGU